UUUGAAAACCCACUUUUGCAUGCACCGAAAACAUAAAUUUGAACACGGUUCUCUUUUCUUUAUAUCAAUGAUCUUUAUGACAUUUAUUUUAAUAAUAUAUAUAUUAAUUCAUAUAGUCUAAGUCAAGUAGCAAAUUCUUAGCCUUUUGAUUCUUUAUAUCAUAGUGGGGUAGGCGGAAUAGUGUUUUUGUUAUUUUUCAUUCGAUGUUUGAGCCUAUAUUGAAAUUUCGAUUAAAAUUGGAUUGCGCUUUGCAGGGUUUAUUCAGGGAUGGACUCCCAACGAAAUUUUUUUCAUAUCCAGGGCUCAAACCCAAGAACUAUGAAGAAGGGUGAAACACUCUCGCUAGUACACCACAAACCAUGAUGGUGGAUUUAUUCAGGGGUCGGCUCCCAACAUGAUUUUCUCCAUACUCAAGACUCGAACCCGAGAACUUUAAUUAAGGGUGAAACACUCUCAUCAACCAUAACCCAUGAUGGUGAUAGGCGGAAUAGUGUUAAAUGUAUUCUUUUAACAUCUUUCGACUUGAAUUAAGUGUAAAAUUAACUUUUUUCAAAAAAUAAAAUAAAAUGUAUGAGUUAUACUA